rnacentral:rRNA from 1 species
GAUGAACGCUGACAGAAUGCUUAACACAUGCAAGUCCACUUGAAUUUGGGUUUUUUAACUUAGAUUUGGGUGGCGGACGGGUGAGUAACGCGUAAAGAACUUGCCUCACAGCUAGGGACAACAUUUGGAAACGAAUGCUAAUACCUGAUAUUAUGAUUAUAAGGCAUCUUAGAAUUAUGAAAGCUAUAUGCGCUGUGAGAGAGCUUUGCGUCCCAUUAGCUAGUUGGAGAGGUAACGGCUCACCAAGGCGAUGAUGGGUAGCCGGCCUGAGAGGGUGAACGGCCACAAGGGGACUGAGACACGGCCCUUACGCCUACGGGAGGCAGCAGUGGGGAAUAUUGGACAAUGGACCAAGAGUCUGAUCCAGCAAUUCUGUGUGCACGAUGACGUUUUUCGGAAUGUAAAGUGCUUUCAGUUGGGAAGAAAAAAAUGACGGUACCAACAGAAGAAGUGACGGCUAAAUACGUG